GAUAAACGCUGGCGGCGCACAUAAGACAUGCAAGUCGAACGGAAGUCGUUGUAAUGAUGUUGACAUGAACAGAGAACUUGUUCGAAGGAAUUGAAGAUUGACUUACAACAAUGGGCUUUAGUGGCGGACUGGUGAGUAACACGUGAGCAACCUGCCUUUCAGAGGGGGAUAACGUUUGGAAACGAACGCUAAUACCGCAUAACGUAUACGGAUGGCAUCGUCUGUAUACCAAAGGAGCAAUCCGCUGAAAGAUGGGCUCGCGUCCGAUUAGCUAGAUGGUGAGGUAACGGCCCACCAUGGCGACGAUCGGUAGCCGGACUGAGAGGUUGACCGGCCACAUUGGGACUGAGACACGGCCCAG
rnacentral:rRNA from 1 species